rnacentral:rRNA from 1 species
AUUGAACGCUGGCGGUAUGCUUAAGACAUGCAAGUCGUGCGGUAGAAGGCUUCGGCCUUUGAGAGCGGCGGACGGGUGAGUAACACGUGGGAAUCUGCCUAUUAGUGGGGGACAGCCCAGCGAAAGCUGGAUUAAUACCGCAUACGCCUACGGGGAAAGGCAGCAAUGCGCUAAUAGAUGAGCCCGCGUAAGAUUAGCUAGUUGGUAAGGUAAAGGCUUACCAAGGCGACGAUCUUUAGUCUGGUCUGAGAGGAUGGCCAGCCACAUCGGGACUGAGACACGGCCCGGACUCCUACGGGAGGCAGCAGUCGGGAAUAUUGGACAAUGGGCGCAAGCCUGAUCCAGCAAUGCCGCGUGCA